UGGGGAAUAUUGCACAAUGGGCGCAAGCCUGAUGCAGCCAUGCCGCGUGUAUGAAGAAGGCCUUCGGGUUGUAAAGUACUUUCAGUCGGGAGGAAGGUGGUAAGGUUAAGAACCUUAUCAAUUGACGUUACCGACAGAAGAAGCACCGGCUAACUCCGUGCCAGCAGCCGCGGUAAUACGGAGGGUGCAAGCGUUAAUCGGAAUUACUGGGCGUAAAGCGCACGCAGGCGGUUGAUUGAGUCAGAUGUGAAAUCCCCGGGCUUAACCCGGGAAUUGCAUCUGAUACUGGUCAGCUAGAGUCUUGUAGAGGGGGGUAGAAUUCCAUGUGUAGCGGUGAAAUGCGUAGAGAUGUGGAGGAAUACCGGUGGCGAAGGCGGCCCCCUGGACAAAGACUGACGCUCAGGUGCGAAAGCGUGGGGAGCAAACAGG
rnacentral:rRNA from 1 species